GUUUUAUAAAGAAUUAAACAAACAUUGUUGAUUAUAAGUAAUUUUUAUGUAUUGACCAAAGAAUAUCACUUGGGAUUUUAUUGUACUUUUAUGGAAGGAUAAAUCAGAGGGGACAUCUAUGGAAACGAAAUUCUUCAUGUGUAUUGAACAUGUAGUUAUCAAAGCAGGAUAUUUUGAAACAAUGAGUGGUUGAGUGACAGAUAACAUGACAUAAAAUACAGUUGUGAAUGAAAUUAUACACAGUAUCUUGAAACCUUUGUGUGUGUGUGAGUUAAUUUCAUAUUUUUUUUUUGGGAUGUAUCAUCUAUAUUUCUGUUUGUCUG
rnacentral:lncRNA from 1 species